GGGGUGUGCUCAGAGCAGGGGGCUGGAAGAAAUGGCUUCUCUGUUUACAAUACACCCAAUAGGGAUCUGGGUUGGUGACAAGGGCGGGAGACUCAUGGCCCUUCUAUGAACAAGUACCCUACAUGU